rfam:Xanthomonas translucens pv. undulosa strain Xtu 4699, complete genome.
GGAGAGAGCCACCUCGUCGCUGCCCACGCUUGUGAAGUUCGAGCGAACGCUCGUUCAACUGUUCGGGCUAGGCAACGAGGUCGAUGUGCGGCCGCCCUGGCUCCUACACGUGCUCGAACACUACGGCCUGUCGGCGUGCCGCACAUCGCUCUCCACUCA